rnacentral:rRNA from 1 species
GAUUAACGCUGGCGGUAUGCCUAAUACAUGCAAGUCGAACGAACUAUUUAUAGUUAGUGGCGAACGGGUGAGUAACACGUAUCCAAUCUACACUUAAGUUGGGGAUAACCAGUUGAAAAGCUGGCUAAUACCGAAUGUGAUUAUUUUUUGGCAUCAAGAAAUAAUUAAAGUCGCGUUUGCGACGCUUUUGGAUGAGGGUGCGGCAUAUCAGGUAGUUGGUGAGGUAAUGGCUCACCAAGCCGAUGACGUGUAGCUGUACUGAGAGGUAGAACAGCCACAAUGGGACUGAGACACGGCCCAUACUCCUACGGGAGGCAGCAGUAGGGAAUCUUUCACAAUGGACGAAAGUCUGAUGGAGCAAUACCGCGUGGAUGAUGAAGGUCAUAAAGAUUGUAAAAUCCUUUUAUAAGAGAAGAAAAAAUAAGAUAGGAAAUGAUCUUAUUCUGACGGUAUCUUUUGAAUAAGUAACGGCUAACUAUGUGCCAGCAGCCGCGGUAAUAC